AUUGCCAUUUUUAUAUCGUACAAUUAGAGAAGGAAAUUUGACUGAGAAGGGAGCCGAGGAAAUGAAUUUGUCAUUAGAGGGGGGGAACAUCUGGUGAGUUUCUUAUUGGUUCUAGACCCUCUUGCUCAGCGUCUUGGUAACAUCUGGGCAACCAGAAUCAAUUCCUAAGAACACUGAGAAAGGGGGCAUUAAUGCAUUAAUCAUAAGGGGGAUUUUAGACAUAACCGAAGACAUGGGCAUCUACUUCAUAUACGAAACGUACAAUGGACGAUAAGAGAUACGAACAUACAAAAUAGACUUGAGACUACCCCAGGGAUCUUGGAACCAAAUGAACGUAGAAACAAAUUGUGGUGUAGUUUGUAAAAGGGACCCGACUAAAGGACUUCAGAAAUGCCAAAACCAGCCGACGGACCAGAAAAGCGGAAAUAUAUGGACCAAUACAUCUUAAAUAAAAAAGGUUUAAUCCCCAGCUUGAAGAAGAAAUCAAUAAAAACAAUUCCUUGUUAGAAGUAGGUACUGUUUAUUGCUUAAAUUAAACCAAAAUGGAAAUUACCAGUUCAAAAUGUCGCAACAAGUAUAUAACUGACACAACGAAAAUGUAGGUGUUGCACAUGAUAAGAUUAGCCACUCAGCAGUGGCACUCUCACAUUAGUCGAAGCAAUCUUCCUUGAGAUCUCUGGACCAUAACCACUUCAACCGACGUGCGGAAUUCUAAGAAUGGUAGGGCGGAAAGCUGUUUGACAAGUGGAUCCGGAUGAAGUACAUAUCGGCCGCAGGGAGGUCUUAUAGAUAUGGCCACACAGAAGAUGGCGAAAUGCUGAAGCUCAUCUGGCAGAAUAAACUAGAAAGGAAGGUAGACCAGGAUGAUAAAAGUACAGAAAAUCGCUCCGCAGACCACAGGAGGUUUUAAACGUCCCGCUACUUACCACGUCUAUUUGAUCCUUAUUGGUUCAUGACUGGGUUGGACUGACAGACGCAAUUCUCAUCAUAUGUCACAAUAUAUCACACAGACCACAAGAGGAAAGUUCACGUCUUCACAUGUCGCCAGCAGCUUGAAGACAAAAACAUCACACUAUGUUUUAAAUGACAGAAUUUGACAACCCUCGUACUCAGUCCUAACCCAGCAUAGAACCUAUAUUUAAUGGAUGAGAAUGAGAUAUCGAUCAAUAGGCACUAGAAUUGGCACGGAAUUAAAAAAAAAAAAAUGGAACUCAAAAAACUCGAAGGGAGCUUCAGUUACAUUCCUUUAUUACCUAUUGAAGAGGCAAAUUUAUCCAAAUUUGAAGGAGAUCGCCAUCGAGGAAGAAGAUAACAGCUCUUUCUUGGCUGGUAGAAAUCCAGAGGCCUCCUGUGGAUUUUUAAUCGGUCCCGGCUCCUUCGCCGCCUCCCGGAGGGAUAAGAAGGAGAUAAGGAAGAAAGAUAGGGAAUGAGUGAUGCUUCCAAGGGGGUUGAACUGUUUUGGGUGGGGGUGGAUGUUAAGCUCUGGAGGUGAUUGGAUGUCGCCAUGGCAACCGAGGGUUAUGGCCGCCGUUCCAGGGCAAAUAAAUCAACCCCCUCUCAGCCCGUCUCACAAAAUUCCCCUUCCACCCCUACAUCACACGCUCUUUUACCCUUGGGCCGAUAGCACGGCCACCAGGAAACGGCUCCCGGGGGAUCCUAAUUUCUUUCAAUUUAAAGAUUAUCUUAUUGUUGUAUAAAAGGGUAUUCGAAUUGUGCUGGUCGAUAGUAUUGUCAUUAUUAUGAUUGUUAUAAACUUAAUUCUGUAUGUACUCAUUUUAUUUUUUUAAAUAUUUCCGCACUAUCAAUGCAAAAAAUGUUUUAUUGCCAAGUUCAGUAUAUUUGAAAUAAGUGUAAUGUUAAUUACAACUGAGUUUUUAGAAUUCAUAUGAAAUCCAAAAUUGACUGAAAUGAUUGUAAAUUAAGUAAACUUUUUCUAAAGAACUGAAACUUUCAUUGUUUAAUUUCUGCUUAGCAAUAAGAAACAGCAUUAAAUAACACCAACACAAUCGGAAAACUACAAAACAAACCUGGCUAAAAAAAUAUACAUUAUACAUUAAACAAGACGAAAAAUAAAUGACAGAUUGCAAAGGAGAAUAAAUAAGAUCGUUUAAGGACAAUGGCAAUAAUAAACUAUUGCGCUUAACUCAAUAAACUAUCAUGAGCCCUCAACAAUAUAGACAAGGAAGUAUCAACACUUUAAAUACAAAAAGAAAGGACCGACGAUCAAAGACCGAUUGGAACAAUAAAAACCCCAUACCUACCCCAUCAAAGAUACCGCAACAAUGAUAACUCCGACACAUGCACCUCACCCUCACCAUCUUAUAAAAGAGACUGACUACAGAAAAAUCGCACAGACCCAACACUAAAGAAGGCGAAGUAUAGAAAUGUGUCUAGUACUGUUGAGAAUUAUAUCAAUACUCCAAUAACUGCGUCACCACCAUAGAUUUUCCUUGACAGCACAUUGCAGUAUCGAUUAGAUUGUUAUUUGUUAGUAUCGAGAAUUGGAGUUGGCGGUGAAG